GGAGUUGAAAAUCACUGGAAUUGGCGGAGCUGGAAAUCAAGCUUUUAUGUUUUCUUCUUUCCAAAGCAUUUAGAUACUACUUUGGAGUUCACAACGUGUUCAAGGUGAAUGGAACUGGAUUCCAGAGCUGCAUUAACCAAAGAUAGAUGAGAAACCAAGCACCGGAAAUGACAUAGUCGCUUUGGCAACUCUAAGAAGAAAAUGGUAUGUUUGUGGAGUAGGCAAGCAUUGCGAGAAUGGCAUGAAACUUUUAAUAAAUGUAUUACCUUGAAGCACAAGCUCCCAAUCCUAGCCCACCCGUUUCACUCACGACAAAGAAUCCAUAGUCAGAGAUGAAGCAGGAUGGAGACUUGGAUUUGAUCAUCAAGCUUGGGCUAAGGGCAAGCACUUCCAAGUUGAAGACAAGCUUAGUAAAUAAAUAGAUACAUAUACUACAACAAAUUAGGUAUUUGGCUAUGAGAUUUCCAAAGCUAAUAACAUAAUUUUUGUCACCCAAAAAUUAAAAGGAGAUCGAAAAUGACACGCCUAAAGGUAAUAAAAAAAAUGUCGUUACGUGUAUUGAUAAG